CACGUGGUGUUUGGUUACGUGAAUAAGUUCUUUAGUGGUGAUUUCUGAGAUUUUAGCGCACCCAUCACUCAAGCAGUGUACAGUUUACCCAAUGUGCAGGGAAGAGUUAAUAUUGUUA